rnacentral:rRNA from 1 species
UAGGGAAUCUUCCGCAAUGGGCGAAAGCCUGACGGAGCAACGCCGCGUGAGUGAUGAAGGUCUUCGGAUCGUAAAACUCUGUUAUUAGGGAAGAACAAAUGUGUAAGUAACUAUGCACGUCUUGACGGUACCUAAUCAGAAAGCCACGGCUAACUACGUGACAGCAGCCGCGGUAAUAAGUAGGUGGCAAGCGUUAUCCGGAAUUAUUGGGCGUAAAGCGCGCGUAGGCGGUUUUUUAAGUCUGAUGUGAAAGCCCACGGCUCAACCGUGGAGGGUCAAUGGAAACUGGAAAACUUGAGUGCAGAAGAGGAAAGUGGAAUUCCAUGGGUAGCGGUGAAAUGCGCAGAGAUAUGGAGGAACACCAGUGGCGAAGGCGACUUUCUGGUCUGUAACUGACGCUGAUGUGCGAAAGCGUGGGGAUCAAACAGG